AGAGUUUGAUCCUGGCUCAGGACGAACGCUGGCGGCGUGCUUAACACAUGCAAGUCGAACGGAAAGGCCCUGCUUUUGUGGGGUGCUCGAGUGGCGAACGGGUGAGUAACACGUGAGCAACCUGCCCCUGACUCUGGGAUAAGCGCUGGAAACGGCGUCUAAUACUGGAUACGAGUAGCGAUCGCAUGGUCAGUUACUGGAAAGAUUUUUUGGUUGGGGAUGGGCUCGCGGCCUAUCAGCUUGUUGGUGAGGUAAUGGCUCACCAAGGCGUCGACGGGUAGCCGGCCUGAGAGGGUGACCGGCCACAUUGGGACUGAGAUACGGCCCAGACUCCUACGGGAGGCAGCAGUGGGGAAUAUUGCACAAUGGGCGGAAGCCUGAUGCAGCAACGCCGCGUGCGGGAUGACGGCCUUCGGGUUGUAAACCGCUUUCGCCUGUGACGAAGCGUGAGUGACGGUAAUGGGUAAAGAAGCACCGGCUAACUACGUGCCAGCAGCCGCGGUGAUACGUAGGGUGCGAGCGUUGUCCGGAAUUACUGGGCGUAAAGAGCUCGUAGGUGGUUUGUCGCGUUGUUCGUGAAAACUCACAGCUUAACUGUGGGCGUGCGGGCGAUACGGGCAGACUAGAGUACUGCAGGGGAGACUGGAAUUCCUGGUGUAGCGGUGGAAUGCGCAGAUAUCAGGAGGAACACCGGUGGCGAAGGCGGGUCUCUGGGCAGUAACUGACGCUGAGGAGCGAAAGCGUGGGGAGCGAACAGGAUUAGAUACCCUGGUAGUCCACGCCGUAAACGAUGUCAACUAGCCGUUGGAAGCCUUGAGCUUUUAGUGGCGCAGCUAACGCAUUAAGUCGACCGCCUGGGGAGUA
rnacentral:rRNA from 1 species